UGUGAGAAAGCUAAUUCAAAAUUUGAAAACCCUAAUGCUUCUUCAGCACUCUCUCCCUCUCUAUAAUUUUCGGCGAAGAUGGAAGUGACGACUCACCCAUCUUCUCCCCUUUUCUCUUUUUCUCCGGUAAUACCAAACAUUAUUUUCUACUCUUUCUCGCUCGGCAUUCCAGCAGCGGUAGUGAAACCGACGACAAUAUAAGCGAUCACGAUAGCGGCAGAGUUAGGUGGAAAAAGCGGCCACUACGGCAAAACUUCGAUUGUGCAAUGGCUGGAUUUAAGGAGAAUUAUUCAGAUGUAAUUUGCCCCCUACAAAAACCCAUGGUUAUUGAUCAAUCAUUCGGGUCAAGCUGCAAACAAGCAGGGAGUUGUUUUGGUGAAGGGAUGUUUAGACUUUCGGUUCCCAGCAUGAACCAGGUAAGCAACUCAUUUUAUGGGUUUAGAACUGCUGAUCUUGAUCUAAUUUGCUGCAUGUGUGCGUAAUGGGUAAACCCUAACAAAUGGAGACGAUUUUGGGAGUGUUGUGAGUCAAGAUGAAGUUGAAGUUGAUUCUAACCCGUUAGGGGCUGCUCACGAAGGUGCUGAUUGGAGUCACAAUUUUCAGCAGUUACAAGGUUGCAAGCUCUUGGUUUGGUGGAGGAAUCGACCCCUAAGCGAUGAUGACCAUUUUGAGUUGGAUGUGUUUGAAACCAAUAAAUUUAUGUCAAAGAGUUCAAGCAAGAGCUUGUUGCUUUAAUUUGUCCCAGUCUUCUAGAGGUUCAGUUGUUAUUGCUGCUGCUGUAGUGAGCUUGUUGGUUUGCUAUUGGUAUUGCUCUAUAUCCAGGUACAUCUUUGAAUUUUGUUUUUUUUAUAGUUAUUGCUUAGAUGUAUUCCUGCUACUUUAAAUGGUUUGAUUGGUCGCUGGUUUGUUUUAUAGGUUCUUAUUCCAUCAACAGUAAAUCAAAUCAAAUUGAAAUCUAUUAUGCAUUCUACAUGAGAAAUACCAAUCUUGUUUAGUUUUUUACAACUCAGUUACUAAGAAGCAUGAAUCCUUUUAUGUACAGUAAUUUUUCAGAUAACUUAAUAAAUGGAUCGAUGCCUGAAGGUUAGUCCAAUCUUCUUUUUCUUCGAAAGCUGUGAAGACCUUUUUCACUUUCCGUUAUUUGUAAAAUAAUUCUAUUGGAAGUUAACAAGUAAAUUUUUAUAUUGUGAAAAUUGCAGGUUCUUGGAGAACAAUUUUCUAAAUGGUAUUAUCUUAGCUGAUGUAUGUCGGAACAAUUUGUUUAAUGCAACCUAUAAACUUCUACUGUAAAUACAUUGAUGGUAAAGGCUUAUUGGGGACAAAGCGUUGUUUAGGUGACAAUCGAGUUGCGGUUCCAAUUCUCUCCCUUUCUCAAAUGCAAAUGGUUUUGCAUCAAAAAGCCAUAACAUUGGUUCUCAAUCUCAUCGUCUGAGCCCAAGAUCAUUUUCGGCCAUAAAUACAAGUGGAUAUAUAAAUGAAGUGUACUCAAACAAGUUAUACGGGCAGUACAAAGGAGCAUGCGGGUCACAAAACCAGCAGGGGUGGCACGUCUAUGCUAUUACCCACCACGUAUGGAUGAUCUUUCAUGAUGGCUUCCUUAUGCAGCGGCCCUACCCACUUAAUGCUCUGAUCGCUUAAGGGUGCGGGAGGUCAUCUAUCGAGAUAGCGAAUCAUGUGCAGAAAGUGGUGGGUGAUGUUUUAUGUUUAGAAUGCACCAAUUUGACUAGGAAUGUAUCUAUCUGUUACUUGGUCUACAUGAUGGAAAGGUGGAGUCUAUACGUAUGGCAAGAAGUCAAUGUAGGUUGUUAAUUUGGUGGCAUGUCAUGGUUGCUGAUUAAGUUUUUGUGAAUUACCUAGACAAAGAGUCAAAACUAUUUGAAAAUGAUAACAAAAGUAGCUUUUGAUGC